rnacentral:sRNA from 1 species
GCCAACAGUCCUGUACCCACGCAAGCUUGCUUGCAGGUGGGUGAAAGGACUUGGGGCGUGCCCCGACAUGAGGAUGAAAUGGGGAGGGGGCCCCAUGAAAUCCGAAUGGCGGGCAGGAUUGUGGGAGCACGAAGUGCGGAGCAAUCCGUAA